rnacentral:rRNA from 1 species
GACGAACGCUGGCGGCGUGCCUAAUACAUGCAAGUCGAACGCUUUUUCUUUCACCGGAGCUUGCUCCAUCGAAAGAAAAAGAGUGGCGAACGGGUGAGUAACACGUGGGUAACCUGCCCAUCAGAAGGGGAUAACACUUGGAAACAGGUGCUAAUACCGUAUAACACUAUUUUCCGCAUGGAAGAAAGUUGAAAGGCGCUUUUGCGUCACUGAUGGAUGGACCCGCGGUGCAUUAGCUAGUUGGUGAGGUAACGGCUCACCAAGGCAACGAUGCAUAGCGGACCUGAGAGGGUGAUCGGCCACACUGGGACUGAGACACGGCCCAGACUCCUACGGGAGGCAGCAGUAGGGAAUCUUCGGCAAUGGACGAAAGUCUGACCGAGCAACGCCGCGUGAGUGAAGAAGGUUUUCGGAUCGUAAAACUCUGUUGUUAGAGAAGAACAAGGAUGAGAGUAAAAUGUUCGUCCCUUGACGGUAUCUAACCAGAAAGCCAUGGCUAACUACGUGCCAGCCGCCGCAGUAA